rnacentral:rRNA from 1 species
AUACGGAGGGUGCAAGCGUUGUUCGGAUUUAUUGGGCGUAAAGCGAGUGUAGGCGGUUUGACAAGUCGAAUGUGAAAUCCCGAGGCCCAGCCUCGGAACUGCAUCCGAAACUGUCAGGCUAGAGUCCCGGAGAGGAUGGCGGAAUUCCCGGUGUAGGGGUGAAAUCCGUAGAUAUCGGGAGGAACACCAGUGGCGAAGGCGGCCAUCUGGACGGUGACUGACGCUGAGACUCGAAAGUGUGGGUAGCAAACAGGAUUAGAAACCCUAGUAGUCC